rnacentral:lncRNA from 1 species
GAGGGAUGUUUGAGCCUUAUGGAAACUCAGGGUGCAGGGUCAGGAAGGUGGAUAAAGGACAUGGAGUGGGAGCCAAGAGGAGGAUAAGAGCUGGUGGGGAGGAUGGAGCAGGCUUAGGAGAGGAGGCAGCCUUUGUGUUUGUCAUCAACUUAGACAGAUGGAGCUGGGGGACAGGGCUCUCAGUGGAGGAAUUAGCCUGGGUGAAAGCUCACAGGUGGCAAUGGAGGGAGUUUCCAGAACAGCAAGUAGGCCCCAUGUGGCUGGGGAGUGAGGUGCCGGAUAACUGGAACUGGGAAGCAGAGGCUGCACACAGGUCCUAAGGGACCUUGAGAGCCAGGGUAAGGAGCCUGGGUAUCACCCUGCAGGGAUGGAAUGCUGCUGCCAUAUUUCUGCUGUGUGACCCAGCCCAUGGCCACAGUUGUUUGGAGCAAGUUGGGCCAAAAGCCUCAUCUUUCCUUGGAAAUUGGUGUUUGGAUUCUGGGUACUGGUCAGAAUGUGGUGGGAGCUUGAAUGGGAAAGGGUGAGAACAGGAAACCAGGAAGCCUCACCCAGGCCUUGUGCAUAAGGAGCCACAGAAAGGCUCUCUGCAGAGAAGGAGAGGCAAAGCAGACAUGUAGAGAAUGCAGAAGAGGUUGGAGAUGGCUUAAUGAAACUGUAUAAUAGAGUGAGCCAAAGCACAUUAAAAAUUAGUUUAAAAAGACCCCCCAAACAGAAAACAAAAACAAAAGGCAGAAAAUAAAAGCAAGGUAGGUAAGUCCAGAUUGAACUAGAAGUGACAUGAUGACGUAAAAGCUGUGUUGAGAUGGGCCAAGAGUUGAUGCUGGGCCUCCUAGUGGCCAAUGGGAAGAGGGAAAAAAGAUCAACUGUGAGACCCAUGGUGUUUCUCAAGGAAAAGCAAACCCACUGCUCAGGAGAGAUCUCCUCCUAAGAUCUACUCACUGCCUCUGGG